UGGGGCAUUCUGGGAUACUGACCGGACUGUUCCAUGUGAUUAUUAAGGGAAUCUGAGCAUGAUACAUUUGUAAAAAAUCAGUUUAGAAGGACAUUAAAACUUUGAUUUUUUACACACUUAUUAUUAUUUUCAAAUUCUACAUUUAUUUAUCAUUUGAUAUGUUUAUACAUUCAAUAAAUGUAAAAAUAUAAUGAUGGAUGUUAUGAUUUUUUUUUUGAUAAUCCCUGUUUCACAUUAUGAUAGACCUGUCCAGACUGAAACCGUUGCAAAAUUUGAAAUCUCAGACAUUCAGUGCUAACCAUAAAGGAUCUAAGUGGCAUUUUAGCUAUUUUGGAGAUAUCAUCUUGUUUUUGAAUGUUGUGUACAUUAUUGUGGAAUUUUCAAAGAAAACAUUUAUCUAAAUGUGACAAGAUUGUGGAAUUGUUUGGUUGUUGUAAUUGAACUAAGAAUGACCUGAGACAGGAAGUUAUGCAAGAAUCAUAGUAAACAGUUUCAGGAACAGCUGUAUGGAUAUGUAAAGUACAGUGAUGACUUCUCAAAAGCCAGCAAGCUCCUGUUCAGAAAACUUUAUAGUGUUGAAGAAUACAGGGGCAGGUGUUUUACUGGCAACAGUACCAACACUAAAACCAAAAUCAAUUAAGGCCAGCAUUGGAGGACACAAUAUUACUGAAAGUCUUUCAUGAGUUGAUCAAGAGAAAAUGGCCAUAAUAAUGUGACUUUUGAAGCUGUCCAGAAAUUGACAUUGACAUUGAUGUUACCAAGAGGAAUAAAAAUUGUUUUAAUAGUUAUAAUAUUUUAUGUUUUGUAUUCUACCAGUGUUACAUAUAGUGUUUAAAAGUGAUGGAGGGCGAGUUUAUCAAUAUGUCAGGGAUUAAGGCAACUAGUUAUAAGAAUGAUGAAAAUUCCAUAUCUCAAAGGGGCUAUUGUAAGAAAGCAAGAAAUUACAAGCAUCAAAGAUACAGCGUCUAUGGCUUUGCAAGAUCAUGAAGAUGUCCUAGUAUUUUCCCAGGUUUUCCAAGGUUUUUUUCACUUGAAGAACCUUGGACAAUUCCAAGGAAAAUAACAUUGGACUUCCAUGGAAAUGUCCAAGCUUUCCGAGGAUGUCUAUGUAAAUGUCCAAGCUUUCCAAGCUUUCCAAGGAUGUCCAAUGAAAAAACCUUGGUCCCAAUACUCCAAGGUUUCCAAGGUUUAUGGCAUAUGUUCAUGGAAACCUUGUACAAGCUCCAAGGUUUCCAAGCAUUAGUCCUAGGAAAGACCCUGCCAUUUUUGUUCUUAAUUUACUCUUAUUGUAUUGAAAAAGUAUACCCAAUACUCCAAGGUUUUUUCCAUGAAAAAUUCCCUGAUAUUGUCCAGGGAAACCUUGGAAAUUG